GAACUAGGGCCUGAACCAAAGCCCACUGAAUUCACUGGGGGUCUUUCCAUUGACUUAAGUGGUCUUUGGCUCAGGCCCCUACAUC
rnacentral:pre_miRNA from 1 species